GUGCCAGCAGCCGCGGUAAUACGGAGGGUGCAAGCGUUGUUCGGAAUCACUGGGCGUAAAGCGCGUGUAGGCGGUCUCCUAAGUCUGAUGUGAAAGCCCGGGGCUUACCUCCGGAAGUGCAUUGGAAACUGGGAGACUGGAGUACCGGAGAGGGAUGCGGAAUUCCAGGUGUAGCGGUGAAAUGCGUAGAUAUCUGGAGGAACACCGGUGGCGAAGGCGGCAUCCUGGACCAACACUGACGCUGAUGAGCGAAAGCCAGGGGAGCAAACGGGAUUAGAUACCCCUGUAGUCC
rnacentral:rRNA from 1 species